GAAAACACAUGAGUGGAAGCGGAAAGAGUUGACAUAACCCGGUAGCUAAGUUGUAUGUGCACGCUAUUGUGUGUACGUUAGAUGGAUGCUGCUUAUGGUUGCGCCGAUAGCGUCGGUGGUGCUUGCUGACCCGUGUAGUGUUGCCCACAUCUGUGGUGUCUUGCUUGCGGUUAGGUUAGUCACUGGUGGCGUUUAGCUCAGCUUUGCUGAGUAUCGGUGUGAACGUCAAUCACCUUUCCGGCCCGUCUUGAAACACGGACCGAGGAGUGUAACUUGUACGCGAGUCAGAGGGUGGCAAACCCAACGGCGAAAUUAACGUAAAGGUCGGUUAACCGACUGA
rnacentral:rRNA from 1 species